GGCACUUUGGCCGAGUGGUUUUAAGGCGAUCGCUUGCUAAGCGGUUGGGAUUUCCCGCGUGAGUUCGAAUCUCACAGGUGUCG
rnacentral:tRNA from 2 species